rnacentral:rRNA from 2 species
UACGUAGGGUGCGAGCGUUAAUCGGAAUUACUGGGCGUAAAGGGUGUGCAGGCGGUUUUGCAAGAUGGAUGUGAAAGCCCCGGGCUUAACCUGGGAAAGCCAUACAUGACUGCAAGACUAGAGUGCGUCAGAGGGGGGUGGAAUUCCAAGUGUAGCAGUGAAAUGCGUAGAUAUUUGGAAGAACACCGAUGGCGAAGGCAGCCCCCUGGGACGCAACUGACGCUCAUACACGAAAGCGUGGGGAGCAAACAGG